GAUGAACGCUGGCGGCGUGCCUUAAGCAUGCAAGUCGAACGGUUGCGAUCGCAAGAUCAAGACAGUGGCAGACGGGUGAGUAACGCGUAGGAAUCUACCCCUUUGUAGAGGAUAGCUCGCCGAAAGGCGAGGUAAUACUUUAUAGUCCCGCAAGGGUAAAGGACUUAACGGUCCGCUAAGGGAGGAGCCUGCGUCCUAUCAGCUAGUUGGUGAGGUAAUGGCUUACCAAGGCUAUGACGGGUAGCUGGACUGAGAGGUUGACCAGCCACAACUGCACUGAGAUACGGGCAGUACACCUACGGGUGGCAGCAACUAGGAAUAUUGCGCAAUGGACGAAAGUCUGACGCAGCGACGCCGCGUGGAGGAAGACGGCCCUCGGGUUGUAAACUCCUUUUGCCAAGCCGUUCACAGCUUGGAGAAUAAGCCUCUACUAACUACGUGCCAGAAGUCUCGGUAAUACGUAGGAGGCAAGCGUUAUCCGGAAUCACUGGGCGUAAAGUGUGCGUAGGCGGUCUGGAAAGUCUCGGCUUAAAGGCUACGGCUUACCCGUAGUUUUGGUUGGGAUACUCCCAGACUUGAGGA
rnacentral:rRNA from 1 species